rnacentral:lncRNA from 1 species
CGUCUUAAAAGCAAAACAAAACAAGCAAACAAACAAAAAAACCACACACACAAAUCAAAACAAUAAAAACUUUGCUACACAAAGCGUGCUUCCAAAAGAGGCAUAUGAUAUCACUGGGGACCUUGUUAGAAACUUGGAAUCUCAGAUCCCACCCCCGACAUACUGAACCAUAAUCUGCAUUUUAACAAGAUCCCCAGGUGACUGUUAGUGCAUUAAAAUUUGAGGAGAACUGACCUAAUAAUACACAAAGUUAUGAAGAAAAAUUUGACUGCAACUAUAACUUAAAAACAAAACUCUGUCUAACAAAGAAACCAUAAACAAAGCUAAAAGACAAGAAAUAGACCCAGAGGCUGGUCUGAUGGUAAUGGGUUAUUCAGAACUUAUUAAUAUUACUGUUAUUCAAGUUGGUAUGCAACUCUCCCACUGCUAAAUUUGGCUUAAAAAAAAAGAAAAGAAAGAAACCCAAAGAAAGUAUCCACAAUACAGUAAACUGACAAAUUACUUAAAUCCAGAAUAUACAAAGAGUUCCUACACAUCAUAAGGAAAAGAACCACAAAUGUAAC